UUAGCGUUGUUCGGAAUUACUGGGCGUAAAGCGCGCGUAGGCGGAUUAGUCAGUUAGAGGUGAAAUCCCAGGGCUCAACCCUGGAACUGCCUUUAAUUACUGCUAGUCUUGAGUUCGAGAGAGGUGAGUGGAAUUCCGAGUGUAGAGGUGAAAUUCGUAGAUAUUCGGAGGAACACCAGUGGCGAAGGCGGCUCACUGGCUCGAUACUGACGCUGAGGUGCGAAAGUGUGGGGAGCAAACAGGAUUAGAUACCCUGGUAG
rnacentral:rRNA from 1 species